UGGGGAAUAUUGGACAAUGGAGGAAACUCUGAUCCAGCAAUUCUGUGUGUGUGAAGAAGGUUUUAGGACUGUAAAACACUUUUAGUAGGGAAGAAAAAAAUGACGGUACCUACAGAAGAAGCAACGGCUAAAUACGUGCCAGCAGCCGCGGUAAUACGUAAGUUGCGAGCGUUAUCCGGAAUUAGUGGGCUUAAAGGGCAUCUAGGCGGUAAGACAAGUUGAAGGUGAAAACCUGUGGCUCAACCAUAGGGUUGCCUACAAAACUGUUGAACUAGAGUACUGGAAAGGUGGGUGGAACUACACGAGUACAGGUGAAAUUCGUAGAUAUGUGUAGGAAUGCCAAUGAUGAAGAUAACUCACUGGACAUAAACUGACGCUGAAGUGCGAAAGCUAGGGGAGCAAAAAGG
rnacentral:rRNA from 1 species